rnacentral:antisense_RNA from 1 species
UGUGGGAGCUGGCUUGCCAGCGAUGGCGUCGUGUCAGUCGACACUCAUUUCACUGAUACACCGCUAUCGCUGGCAAGCCAGCUCCCACA